UAGUUGGUGAGGUAAAGGCUCACCAAGGCGACGAUCUGUAGCGGGUCUGAGAGGAUGAUCCGCCACACUGGAACUGAGACACGGUCCAGACUCCUACGGGAGGCAGCAGUGGGGAAUUUUGGACAAUGGGGGCAACCCUGAUCCAGCCAUGCCGCGUGAGUGAAGAAGGCCUUCGGGUUGUAAAGCUCUUUCGGCCGGGAAGAAAUCGCACAGGCCAAUACCCUGUGUGGAUGACGGUACCGGAAUAAGAAGCACCGGCUAACUACGUGCCAGCAGCCGCGGUAAUACGUAGGGUGCGAGCGUUAAUCGGAAUUACUGGGCGUAAAGCGUGCGCAGGCGGUUUUGUAAGACAGGCGUGAAAUCCCCGGGCUCAACCUGGGAACUGCGCUUGUGACUGCAAGGCUAGAGUACGGCAGAGGGGGGUGGAAUUCCACGUGUAGCAGUGAAAUGCGUAGAGAUGUGGAGGAACACCGAUGGCGAAGGCAGCCCCCUGGGCCGAUACUGACGCUCAUGCACGAAAGCGUGGGUAGCAAACAGGAUUAGAUACCCUGGUAGUCCACGCCCUAAACGAUGUCAACUAGGUGUUGGGUGGGUAAAACCAUUUAGUACCGUAGCUAACGCGUGAAGUUGACCGCCUGGGGAGUACGGCCGCAAGGUUAAAACUCAAAGGAAUUGACGGGGACCCGCACAAGCGGUGGAUGAUGUGGAUUAAUUCGAUGCAACGCGAAAAACCUUACCUACCCUUGACAUGUCCGGAAUCCCUGAGAGAUUGGGGAGUGCCCGAAAGGGAAUCGGAACACAGGUGCUGCAUGGCUGUCGUCAGCUCGUGUCGUGAGAUGUUGGGUUAAGUCCCGCAACGAGCGCAACCCUUGUCGUUAAUUGCCAUCAUUUAGUUGGGCACUUUAGCGAGACUGCCGG
rnacentral:rRNA from 1 species